GUGGCCCCAAGUCAGGCUGAG
rnacentral:rRNA from 1 species